rnacentral:lncRNA from 1 species
CAACAUCCUCCCCUGUCCUCUUCGGUGGCAUCAAUAGUAUUACAAGCAUAAUGGUCACUUGCACAGUAGCAUGUUUUCGAUUAGAUGACCAACUCAUACAAAGAUGGUUGGGGUACACACUGUAUUGAUAGGUGUGGAGGCAUCAUUCGGCUGUAGCCUAGUCUAUAGUGAGAUUAGCACGGGUGGGGUAGGCUACACAGUGACAGCGCACACACCCAUAGAUGUGGGUGGUUAUUAGGCGCAAAUUAGGAAGGAGCAGGACUCGAGAAAAUCUCGGUUGCAAUUCCAUUAGGACAAAUUAUUUCAUUGCUCUCGAGAAUAAACGGAGUAUACCACGCGCGAACCGAUUCUGGCCCCCGCUCCCUGGACAACCUCCUUCCCAGGCUCGCGCCAUACGUCCUCUUCGAAUACCUGCACAGCAGCCCGUUACCGUUCGUUCGGGAUGGAUCCCGCUGUUCUCAUCUUCCUGCUGUAUAUGAUGAUAGCUCAUGAGCUGGUCUGCGGCUGGUUGCAGUACCGGAGACAAGCUGCCAAGCCCCGCAAACGAGCCGGGCCGAUGUGGAGUAGCAGUGCCCGAGUUUGCCCUAGUAGCUGGCGGGUCAGUAGCCAGCCUUGCAGGACAGAUAGAGGACGAGACUGGAGGAGGGCUGCUGGGAAGAGUGGGCGGCGGAUUGUCAGAAAGGCCUGAGCUGGAGAGAGCAUCUGUUGAGCAGAACUUCAGACAAUUCCACAACCCCAGAGUGGAUUCUUGGACUGAAAGACCUCUUCUUGUCUUGAACUUGGAACUUUGACAGGUUUGAAGAGCUUGAUCUGCUGCAGCAUCUCUUUGCUGUGAUUGAGCAGCACAUUGUCCAUUGGGAUUUGGUAAACACAGCCACGGAGUCUAAACUCCGGAGAACAGUACAACAUGAGGAAAUGUCUGUGGAUGUGUGGAAACUUUGUCUAUUUAUUUGUUCAUCUAUAUUGUCAUAGUCCUAUUUUAUCAUGUUAUUUGGUGAUGUUUGUAUUCCAAAUCAGCUGUUAUCCUCCCUUCGGGAUCUGUAUUUUAGACCACACCUCCAAAAGAAUGCUAUAUAUUCCAUCAGAUCCAUCCAGGAAUUGUAAGUGUCCUUUUCAUUUAGAAACUUCAUUCUUUCUCAAAGAGAAAAACAAGAACUGUUUGUCAGGCCAUGUUCCCACCUAUGUAGAGACCAGCAGGUGUGUUUACUGUGGAUGUGGCUCUAAUAAAAUGUGUAUAACACACACUUCUGAAAUGAACCAUUGAAAGACUGUCUGUGAUGGAGCAGCAAGUAUACUGAACAAAAUAAUAAUGCAACAUGCAACAAUUUCCGAGAUUUUACUGAAUUACAGUUAAUUUAAGGAAAUCAGCCUAUUGAAAAAAAAAUGAUUGGGCCCUAAUCUAUAGAUUUGACUGGGAAUACAGAUAUGCAUAUUUUGGUCACAGAUACCUUUUUUAAAAAAGGUAGGGGCGUGAAUCAGAAAACCAGUCAGUAUCUGGUGUGACCACCAUUUGCCUCAUGCAGCGUGACACAUCUCCUUCACAUUGAGUUGAUUGUGGCCUAUGGAAUGUUGUCCCUCUCCUAUUCAAUGGCUGUGUGAAGUUUCUGGAUAUUGGUGGGAACAGGAACACGCUAUUGUACGUGUCGAUCCAGAGCAUCCCAAACAUGCUCAAUGGGUGACAUGUCUGGUGAGUAUGCAGGCCAUGGAAGAACUGGAACAUUUUCAGCUUCCAGGGAUUGUGUACAGAUCCUUGCGACAUGGGGGCUGUGCAUUAUCAUGCUGAAACAUGAGGUGAUGGCGGCAGAUGAAUGGCACAACAAUGGGCUUCAGGAUCUCGAUAUGGUAUCUCUGUGCAUUCAAAUUGCCAUCGAUAAAAUGCAAUUGUUUUUGUUUUCCAUAGCUUAUCCCUGCCCAUACCAUAACCCCACCGCCACCAUGGGGCACUGUUCACAACAUUGACAUCAGCAAACUGCUAACCCACACGAUGCCAUACAUGUGGUCUGCGGUUGUGAGGCCAGUUGGACGUACUGCCAAACUCUCUAAAAUGAUGUUGGAAGCCAUAUAAGGUAUAGAAAUGAACAUUCAAUUUUCUGGCAACAGCUCUGUUGGACACUCAUGCAGUUAGCAUGCCAAUUGCGCUAAAAACUUGAGACAUCUGUGGCAUUGUGUUGUGUGGCAAAACUGCACAUUUUAGAGUAGCCCAUUAUUGUCCACAGCACAAGGUGCACCUGUGUAAUGAUCAUGCUGUUUAAUCAGCUUCUUGAUAUCUCACCUGUCAGGUGGAUGGAUUAUCUUGCCAAAGGAGAAAUAUUCACUAGCAGGGAUUUAAACACAUUUGUGCACAACAUUUGAAAGAAAUCAUUUUUUUGUGUGUAUCCACUAGGCUUUCCAGCCUAGUGGAAAGCAGGUGCGUUUCAUA